rnacentral:rRNA from 1 species
CUACGGGUUGCAGCAGUGGGGAAUUUUGCGCAAUGGGGGAAACCCUGACGCAGCGAUACCGCGUGAGUGAAGAAGGCCUUUGGGUCGUAAAGCUCUUUUCUAAGGGAAGAUAGUGACGGUACCUUAGGAAUAAGCGCCGGCUAACUCCGUGCCAGCAGCCGCGGUAAUACGGAGGGCGCGAGCGUUGUUCGGAUUUACUGGGCGUAAAGGGCGCGUAGGCGGCCUGGCAAGUUAAGGGUGAAAUCCCGGGGCUUAACCCCGGAACUGCUCUUAAAACUGCCAAGCUAGAGAUGGUCAGAGGCGGGUGGAAUUCCAGGUGUAGAGGUGAAAUUCAUAGAUAUCUGGAGGAACACCGGUGGCGAAGGCGGCCCGCUGGGGCCAUUCUGACGCUGAGGCGCGAAAGCGUGGGGAGCGAACGGGAUUAGAUACCCCCGUAGUC